UAGGGAAUCUUCCGCAAUGGACGCAAGUCUGACGGAGCAACGCCGCGUGAGUGAAGAAGGAUUUCGGUUCGUAAAACUCUGUUGUUAGAGAAGAACAGCGCAUAGAGUAACUGUUAUGCGUGUGACGGUAUCUAACCAGAAAGCCACGGCUAACUACGUGCCAGCAGCCGCGGUAAUACGUAGGUGGCAAGCGUUGUCCGGAUUUAUUGGGCGUAAAGCGAGCGCAGGCGGUCAAUUAAGUCUGAUGUGAAAGCCCCCGGCUCAACCGGGGAGGGUCAUUAGAAACUGGUUGACUGGAGUGCAGAAGAGGAGAGUGGAAUUCCAUGUGUAGCGGUGAAAUGCGUAGAUAUAUGGAGGAACACCAGUGGCGAAGGCGACUCUCUGGUCUGUAACUGACGCUGAGGUUCGAAAGCGUGGGUAGCAAACAGG
rnacentral:rRNA from 1 species